GCCGGGAUGGCUGAGAGGAUUAAAGCGCAGGCCUUGAGAGUCUGUGACCUAUUCAUGGUCUCAAGGGUUCGAAUCCCUUUCCCGGCGCCA
rnacentral:tRNA from 1 species